rnacentral:rRNA from 1 species
GACGCUGGCGGCGUGCCUAAUACAUGCAAGUCGUACGCUUCUUUUUCCACCGGAGCUUGCUCCACCGGAAAAAGAAGAGUGGCGAACGGGUGAGUAACACGUGGGUAACCUGCCCAUCAGAAGGGGAUAACACUUGGAAACAGGUGCUAAUACCGUAUAACAAUCGAAACCGCAUGGUUUUGAUUUGAAAGGCGCUUUCGGGUGUCGCUGAUGGAUGGACCCGCGGUGCAUUAGCUAGUUGGUGAGGUAACGGCUCACCAAGGCUACGAUGCAUAGCCGACCUGAGAGGGUGAUCGGCCACAUUGGGACUGAGACACGGCCCAAACUCCUACGGGAGGCAGCAGUAGGGAAUCUUCGGCAAUGGACGAAAGUCUGACCGAGCAACGCCGCGUGAGUGAAGAAGGUUUUCGGAUCGUAAAACUCUGUUGUUAGAGAAGAACAAGGAUGAGAGUAACUGUUCAUCCCUUGACGGUAUCUAACCAGAAAGCCACGGCUAACUACGUGCCAGCAGCCGCGGUAAUACGUAGGUGGCAAGCGUUGUCCGGAUUUAUUGGGCGUAAAGCGAGCGCAGGCGGUUUCUUAAGUCUGAUGUGAAAGCCCCCGGCUCAACCGGGGAGGGUCAUUGGAAACUGGGAGACUUGAGUGCAGAAGAGGAGAGUGGAAUUCCAUGUGUAGCGGUGAAAUGCGUAGAUAUAUGGAGGAACACCAGUGGCGAAGGCGGCUCUCUGGUCUGUAACUGACGCUGAGGCUCGAAAGCGUGGGGAGCAAACAGGAUUAGAUACCCUGGUAGUCCACGCCGUAAACGAUGAGUGCUAAGUGUUGGAGGGUUUCCGCCCUUCAGUGCUGCAGCUAACGCAUUAAGCACUCCGCCUGGGGAGUACGACCGCAAGGUUGAAACUCAAAGGAAUUGACGGGGGCCCGCACAAGCGGUGGAGCAUGUGGUUUAAUUCGAAGCAACGCGAAGAACCUUACCAGGUCUUGACAUCCUUUGACCACUCUAGAGAUAGAGCUUCCCCUUCGGGGGCAAAGUGACAGGUGGUGCAUGGUUGUCGUCAGCUCGUGUCGUGAGAUGUUGGGUUAAGUCCCGCAACGAGCGCAACCCUUAUUGUUAGUUGCCAUCAUUUAGUUGGGCACUCUAGCAAGACUGCCGGUGACAAACCGGAGGAAGGUGGGGAUGACGUCAAAUCAUCAUGCCCCUUAUGACCUGGGCUACACACGUGCUACAAUGGGAAGUACAACGAGUCGCGAAGUCGCGAGGCUAAGCUAAUCUCUUAAAGCUUCUCUCAGUUCGGAUUGUAGGCUGCAACUCGCCUACAUGAAGCCGGAAUCGCUAGUAAUCGCGGAUCAGCACGCCGCGGUGAAUACGUUCCCGGGCCUUGUACACACCGCCCGUCACACCACGAGAGUUUGUAACACCCGAAGUCGGUGAGGUAACCUUUUGGAGCCAGCCGCCUAAGGUGGGAUAGA